AAAAACAAAAUAAAAUGGCCUUCCUUCCCCAGGACAGGAAUUUGAGAGGAAUCUCUGAGUGAACCUCAGAGUGGACAAUGCCACCAAAGUGGUCCUACCUGCUAGGAACAUCACACGCAAAGUCUCUUCAUUCUGAAAGAAAAGGAGGGCUUUUCCAGCUAUUAAAAAUAGGACAGCUGGCAGAAGACAGAAAAUUUUUAUACGGGGCUUAACCUAGCCAUCUCUGUUAGUACCUCCAACUCAAGUGACUGUUUCUCCUCUUAGGAGGGUCAUGAGAAGGUGAGAUUGAAGGGAAGCAACAAAAGCUGUCAAAUUGAAACAAAAAGAAGAAAUGAAAAUAAGAGCAGAAAUCACGCAAACCAAAUUACAAACGGCAGAAAGAAAGCAAGUCAUUGAAGGCUAUCGGAUCUCGCUAGUGGCAGAAUCAAGACCCACCUAUGUUUCCACCGUCUGCCUUUCAUAUGUUAAUGGAGAGACCUGGUGCCCAUAUGCUAAAUGAGAGUGUACGACGGAGUCUCAUGGAACCAGACAGGUGUCAUGGGCUCACAGGAGGAUGCUGAAUGCCGUUAGACCACGCAGACAGAGGUGGUAAUCCUGCACUGCCAGUGUAGCCUGGGGAGAAGCCCUCCAUACCUUUAAAUGCAUUAAAGU